UGAAGCUGCUGUCUGCUGGAUUGGAGGAGCCACACUGGAGACUGGACACUCUCAGGGUGGACCAUGGUGGAGAGCAGAGGUUAAAACCUGGUCUGAGGAAGUAUCUCUGUGAACUCACACUGGACAC